AAAUUUGAAAUCUGGCGCAAGCCCGAGUUGUAAUUUGUAGAGGAUGCUUCUGGGCAGCGGCCGGUCUAAGUUCCUUGGAACAGGACGUCACAGAGGGUGAGAAUCCCGUAUGUGACCGGCGCGCACCCUCCACGUAGCUCCUUCGACGAGUCGAGUUGUUUGGGAAUGCAGCUCUAAAUGGGAGGUAAAUUUCUUCUAAAGCUAAAUACCGGCCAGAGACCGAUAGCGCACAAGUAGAGUGAUCGAAAGAUGAAAAGCACUUUGGAAAGAGAGUUAAAAAGCACGUGAAAUUGUUGAAAGGGAAGCGCUUGCAACCAGACUCCGCGGCGGUGUUCCGCCGGUCUUCUGACCGGUCCACUCGCCGCCGCGGGGCCAACAUCGUCUGGGGCCGCCGGACAAGACUGGAGGAAUGUAGCUCCCUCGGGAGUGUUAUAGCCUUCAGUGAUGCGGCGCGUCCCGGGCGAGGUCCGCGCUUCGGCAAGGAUGUUGGCGUAAUGGUUGCCAGCGGCCCGUCUUGAAACACGGACCAAGGAGUCUAACAUCUAUGCGAGUGUUCGGGUGUCAAACCCCUACGCGUAAUGAAAGUGAACGGAGGUGGGAGCUUCGGCGCACCAUCGACCGAUCCUGAUGUCCUCGGAUGGAUUUGAGUAAGAGCAUAGCUGUUGGGACCCGAAAGAUGGUGAACUAUGCCUGAAUAGGGUGAAGCCAGAGGAAACUCUGG
rnacentral:rRNA from 1 species